UCCCCUUUUGCCACCUUUCUGUUAGACUCUUUGUCGUUAUAGACGACGGCCACCCCUUCUUAUGCAUCCAUUGUUAUUAUUUAUGUAUUAAUCCCGGAAGCUCCUGCGCAUAUUCUCUGUGCUAGCUGGGUUGAAUUUGCUUGUUUGAUGGGUUCAUUAAAUUAUUAAUAAGCUCGAUCGUCCAGACACUAAUGGCGUCCCAUCUUGAAGUGACGAUGUCUGCUCUCUGGGCUCAGCUGGGAUUUUUAUUGGUGUUUGUUCAUGCCCAGAUUCCUACCACCCUCGAUGGCCCCUUCAACCCCACCGUUCCUCUCGACAAGUCCUUCCGCGGCCACGCUGUAGAUUUGUCAGACACCGAUCCUCGGCCGCAGAGAACAGUCAAAGGGUUUGAGCCUCAGCAAAUAUCAGUUUCCCUCUCUUCCACUUGCGAUUCUGUUUGGAUAUCUUGGAUCAGUACUGGUGGUGAGUCAGUUGCAGAGAAUUGUCAGAUUCUACAAACCAGGGUAAAUAGAUUCAAAUCAGAUAAGGAUAAGGUUGAUGCGACUCAACUGAGAGGUUACUCGUGUGAUAUCAAGUUCACCGGUGGAAGAUCCAUGUAUACUUCUUCGGACAACUUACCAUGCAGAAAGGUAAACAAAUGCCACACAACUAAAGACAUGAGGAGGCAGAUUUGGGACAGUUGGGGUAACAACAACAUCAGUCAAAGCUUGGAGAAGUGUCCGGAAGUCAAUUGAGCUGGAAGGUACCCAAUUGAUUAAGUAUGGGACAGAGGCAAUUGCUUCUCCCUAAUAAGAUCUAAGCAUAUUUGUUGCUAUCAACGAUACUUGAACAAUGUCCAACAAGUGUCAAUUUUUUCGUUCUGCGACUCAGUUAUGCUGGGGUGUAUUGGAACAAGUGGUCUGAUGAAUGGUUCCAUGUGCUUCUAAAUACUGCUGAAGAUCAGAACUUUGAUAUUCUCCACCAUUGUCGCUAUGUAGGACCCGAACCUUUGCACUGUACUGAGUUCUAAUCAUUUUAUGAAAAUUUUGAAAUAACAAGUUCACUUCAUCUUUGGAUUUCAUCAAGCAUAACCAGGUCAUUCUGGUACAAUCAUCAAUAAAAAUAACAAACCAAAGUGAUCCCCCCAUAGUUGGGACUUUAGAUGGACCCCAAACAUCAGAAUGUAUAACCAUAAAAAGAAGUGGACUUUUAUUCAAAAUUAAUGGUAACAAAGUACGGUGGCAACUUUUUGCCAGUUCACACACAUCACAAUGGAAACUAGAAAUAUCGUACCUUGUAAACAAACUAGGAAAUAAUUUUUUCAAAUCUGUUAUCAAGGCUUGUUGCAGCUUGAUGGAAUCCUUUGACUGCAGGUCCAAGUAAUACAGCUUCCCUUGCUUAAUACCACAACCAAUCGUUUGUCUUGUUUGGAAGUCCUUGAAUACACAAAAUUCAGGCCAAAAAAUGACGAUACAAGAUAAGGCUGCAGUAAUUUGAGUAACUGACAAAAGAUUGUAGCCUAAAGAUGGAACAACUAACACAGAAUCCAAAUUUAAAGUAUUAGUAAGGGUUAAGGAUCCCUCCCCAAUAACUGGGGUUGUGUUACCAUUGGUUGUGGAAACAAAUUUUUGUUAGGAAGGUCUAAGGGGUGAGACCUGUCUAGAAUCAAAAGUCAUAUGAUUUGCAACACCAGAAUCAAUUAUCCGUGUACUAUUAGUAACAGGUGCAGAAAUAUUUAAAACCUUACCACCAUUAUCCGCAGCGGCUACCAAUGCAGAGGCCUUCUCAACAACAUCAUCCUCUGUUUUUAUUUUGGCAAUGGCUGCAGUCGAGGUCUUAUUGGAAUUCUUCUUCUGCUGAUCGCGAUUAUGAUCCCACCAUUCUGGAUAUCCCACAAGUUCAAAGCAGUUGCUCUUGGUGUGACCAGUCUUAUUGCAAUGAGUGCCUUUGGAGGUUGACUUAUCAGCACUAGGGUUCAUCUUGGGACGGUUGUUCUUGGAUCGGUCCUGCCAAUUGUGAGUUGAUAGCUGUUGAGCUAUCAUGGCCGAGGUGUCAGAAUUGUCAGAUUCUCCUUUCAAAGUACCAUGAUGUACUGCUUCUUGUCGAACCAACAGAUAACAUUCUUCCAAAUCAGGAAUUAGAUCUUUGUGUAGAAUCUCUCCUCAAACUUGUUCGAAGUCACCAUCCAGUCCAGCAAGAAAGAUGUGCAGUCGUAGUCGUUCAGUGGAUUUUCGGUAUGCUGCAAUGUUAUCCGGGUUUUUCAUGAGUACCUUAUCUCAAUGAUCCUCGCGAAAAUUCUCAGUCAAUUCUCCAUAAUAUUAAGAGAGAGACUUGCCACUUUGUCUGGUAGUAGAGGCCUUCUGAUUCAAGGUGAAAACUUGUAAUUCAUCGCUUCCAUCAUAGAAAGCCUUUGAUAAAGCACUCCAGAUUUCUUGAGCGGUGGGUAAGUGUAAAUAAGGCUUCAUAAUUUCUGGACUUAUGGACAUUAACAACCAUCUCUUCACCUUCUGAUUUUCAGCAUACCAUUUUUCAUAUCCAUCUUCUGAUUCUGUGGAUGGCUUUGUAUUUCCUCAAUCGGUGAGUAUGAUUCCUGCAUUGAAAAUACUUUCUGACUGAACAAUAACUGGAACUGAUUUUGUCCCAGACGAUUUGAUAUUUUUUUCACUCAUUUUUUUUUCAAACGAACAAAUAUUUAAACGACAACAAUUUUUCCCUUUUUUUGCUUGCUGAGAAUAAAAGAAAACUACAAGUCAAAUGAAGAACUCAACUUGGGCUAUGAACUGUGUCGGUGUUGGUCUUCGAACAGCAAUAUGGCAGAUGCUUGGCGAUGACACAAGGAUGGCGAUAGCAGUGAGAUGCUAGGGUGGUUCUGUGCAGAAAUCGACUGAAUGCCCAAGGAUCGACUGAACGCGGAGAGGGAAAAGAAAAAAUUUCAGUGUGGCUCUGAUACCAACUUCAAAAUGAUGAAUGAUAAGGAACUUGACAUGAUUGAAAUGGCUGUUUAUGGGGAUGUGAUCCGGCCUGGAAAUCAAUGCCGUUGCAGAACUGUUGCAGAAGCGCUUGGCCAAUACAAGUCCAAGGACCGUAAGGCUGCUUGCAAGUUGCCGCAUAGUGAUGAG